AAGUUAGAAAGGUUUUCCUAAUAGCUAAACUAAAUGUCCCGUGCUGCAGAUUAAGCCCAUUAGUUUUGUCCUAUAUCAUUGGACAUGGAGAACAAUUGAUCAUCUCUUUAUAACAGCCCUUCACAUAUUUGAAGAUGGUUGCUCCCCAGUCUUCUUUCCUCAAGACUAACCGUGUCCAGUUUUUUCAAGCUUUCCCGUUAGCCCAGGUUUUCUAAAUCUUUUAUAUUUUUUGUUGCUAUCCUCUGGAUUCUUUACAAUUUAUCCACAUCCUUCCUAAAUUGUUGUGCCCAGUAUUGGACACAAUACUCCAACCGGGGCCUCACCUGGGCUGAGCAGAAAUGGGACAAGUCCCUCCUAUGUUUUACAUACAAUGCUCUUGUUAAUAUCCCGCAGAAUCAGAUGAGCUAUUUUGCAACUGGCUUACAUGGAUGACUCAUAUUCAGAAAUAAUCCCUAGAUCCUUUCCAGCAGCACUACUCUUUAGACAGUUAUUCCCUAUGUUGUAGUUGGCAUUUGUGUUUUUCCUUCCUAUAUGAAUUAUUUUGCAGUUGUCUUUAUUGAAUGGUUCACUGUCAGACUGGGUGGAUGUAUCGAGUGUGGUCCUACAAGGAGCUAUCCUAGGGCUGGUUCGACUUCUUAUUUCCAUACAUAACUUGAAUAAUGGAGGGGAGAGCAGGCUUAUAAAAAUUUGCCGAUGACACCAAGCUAGGAGGAGUUGCAAGCACUUUGGAGGUAAAAAUGGAUUGGGUAAAAAUGCCCUGGUAGAGGGGACAGGACAAGGUCUGUGGCUAGUGGAUCAUCAUUGUGCCACAGUUUAUAGAGCAUUUGUUCAAAACAUAGCUCAAGAGGCUUCCUCAGCAUGAGCAAAUGAGUAAACAAAAGAAGACAAGAAACCAUCAGCAGGAUGUGAACGGCUACUUCCUACACCAAUUUAUACAAUGUCUUAAAUUUCCCCGCGGGAGUUGUGCCGGUCACCGUCGUAACAGAAUCUGAUGAAGAAGAGCUGAAGAAUUACAGAGGCCAGUAUGGUGACCCCUGGGAUAAGAGACUGAAAGAGGUCAGCUUAUGUUAAAGAAGAGGGUUUCAGAUCAAUACCAAG
rnacentral:lncRNA from 1 species